GAUGAACGCUGGCGGCGUGCUUAACACAUGCAAGUCGAACGAAGCAUUUAAGACAGUUUCCUUCGGUUUUCAGUCUUUUAUGACUGAGUGUCGGACGGGUGAGUAACGCGUGUGUAACCUGCCUCAUACAGGGGGAUAGCAGCUGGAAACGGCUGGUAAUACCUCAUAAGCGCCCAGUACCACAUGGUACAGUGUGAAAACCUCCGGUGGUAUGGGAUGGACCCGCGUCUGAUUAGCUUGUUGGCGGGGUAACGGCCCACCAAGGCGACGAUCAGUAGCCGAGCGGGGAGGGUGACCCGCAACAUUGGGACUGAGACACGGGCCAGACCCCUACGGGAGGAAGCAGGGGGGAAUAUGGAACAAUGGAGGAGACUCUGAGGCAGCGACGCCGCGUGAGUGAAGAAGUAGGUCGGAAUGUAAAGCUCGAGAAGAAGGGAAGAGAGUGACGGUACCUGACUAGGAAGCUCCGGCUAAAUACGUG
rnacentral:rRNA from 1 species